rnacentral:rRNA from 1 species
UACGUAGGUGGCAAGCGUUGUCCGGAUUUACUGGGCGUAAAGAGCGCGCAGGCGGCUGGUCAAGUCCGAUGUGAAAGCUCCCGGCUUAACUGGGAAACGGCAUCGGAAACUGAUCGGCUUGAAGGUGGGAGAGGGUAGUGGAAUUCCCGGUGUAGUGGUGAAAUGCGUAGAUAUCGGGAGGAACACCGGUGGCGAAGGCGGCCAGCUGGCGCUGACCUGACGCUGAGGCGCGAAGGCGUGGGGAGCGAACGGG